AGUGAACGCUGGCGGUAGGCCUAACACAUGCAAGUCGAACGGCAGCACAGUAAGAGCUUGCUCUUACGGGUGGCGAGUGGCGGACGGGUGAGGAAUACAUCGGAAUCUACUUUUUCGUGGGGGAUAACGUAGGGAAACUUACGCUAAUACCGCAUACGACCUACGGGGGAAAGCAGGGGAUCUUCGGACCUUGCGCGAGUGAAUGAGCCGAUGUCGGAUUAGCUAGUUGGCGGGGUAAAGGCCCACCAAGGCGACGAUCCGUAGCCGGUCUGAGAGGAUGAUCCGCCACACUGGAACUGAGACACGGUCCAGACUCCUACGGGAGGCAGCAGUGGGGAAUAUUGGACAAUGGGCGCAAGCCUGAUCCAGCCAUACCGCGUGGGUGAAGAAGGCCUUCGGGUUGUAAAGCCCUUUUGUUGGGAAAGAAAAGCAGCAGGUUAAUACCCCGCUGUUCUGACGGUACCCAAAGAAUAAGCACCGGCUAACUUCGUG
rnacentral:rRNA from 1 species